UUGUCCCAUCUGCAAAGGUUCGGAGUAUUCAGAAACAGGCGUUGGGGCCUUUUGCUUAGCAUCCCUUCUGCAGCUUGGCCUGGGCCCCUUCAAAAUGGCCAGGGCACGCAAUGAAGGGCAGUUAGGGGUCCUGAUGCUGGAGGUGCUGUCUGUCAAAAGAGCUAUAAAGCCACCACCGGACCAUCAAGGUCCUUGGAAACCCUGAGACCUGUGUUACAAAGGGAUGAGGUCAACCAGAAAGGAAGGAUUCACUUUAUAGGUACCAGAUGACUGUCAGGUACUGGUGCCCUAAAGCAUAGGUUUUCUUUUAAAAAUGUUUCAUAACAAUAACUUACUGUUUCCAUAGUGUAAAGAAGAAAAGUCCCUGCAAACUUUUUUUUGUUGGUAUUUCAUUCUGCCCCUCUGCAUUUGUGUUUGCAUGCGACUUGCAU